UCAAGCGUGGUAAAUCGCUAUUUCGCUUUGGAGGCUGGGGCUUCGUCCGCCGGAAAAACCGGGCUCGCGCCCACUUCUCAGGUUGACCUCGGAUCAGGUAGGGAUACCCGCUGAACUUAAGCAUAUCAAUA
rnacentral:rRNA from 1 species